AUGAGAGAGGAGAAGAGCAAACCACAACCUUAUCACUGCACUAGCAGCAAGCAGACACACUCUGCUUAAACACACACACAAAAACGCACACACAUCUCUGUUUUUAUUUCAAACUACUGUAUGACUUCACUGAGAUGUGACCUUGGCUUGAUCCAUAUAUUGUAGGAAAUAAUACAGAUAAUACAGAUCCUUACACCAUUCAGUAUUUUAUACAGGCAGAAUUCAUCAAUCCACUACACACAUUAUGAGUGAUAUGCUGAUUUAAUCAUACAUUAUGAUAUGCUGAUUUAAUCAUACAUUAUGAUAUGCUGAUUUAAUCAUACAUUAUGAUAUGCUGAUUUAAUGAUGGAACAUGACUCAUUCUUUACAUUAAUCAAUAAUAGGAUUUAUUCACAUCAAUUAAUCAUAGGACUGAUUCAUAUGCAAUGGACAGCAGUAUCAGCCUCUUCUCUGUAAAUUAAUGCAUCAAAGAUCUGAUCAAAAUUAGGAUUGUAUGGCCAGGCCAGGGAUAAGCUGUGUAAUAUUUUGACAUGUUGAAAGCAUAUUAAAGUUUAUUAUAUAA